rnacentral:lncRNA from 1 species
UUGUUUCGUGAAAAAUAAAUUAGAAGAUAAAAUGAAAUUAUGAAACCCCAAACAAAUGAAGGAGUCAAUCGGCGCACGACGGCCGACGGCGAGCAUGACCAAGUCGUUGUAAUAUACAGAGGAUGAAGCUGCGACUCACUAUAGACAAAGAAACCAUUGUAAUGAAAACCCCAAAUUGUUUCACUUGUACAGAAACAAAGAAGUUAAUUUAUCUAAUUUUUUGAUUAUGUUGUAAACUAUUGAAAUUCAUUUGUAGUUGUUAUGGUGUCCUUGCAAAAUGAGCUAUUCAUUUGUAGUUGUUCUGUUGCCCUUGUUUGAUUGAGUAUUCUGUUCUUUAUCUUAUUGAAGUUUCCCAAUUAAUUGGUAUUGAAAGUUAAAAGCCUGAAUAUCAAUUAUCAAUAUGUUGAAUAAAAUUGGACAAAACGAAUUGUUGUGCAGAAAAUAUUGUAAGAUUUGGAAAAGAGUAUUGGCCUGAAUAUUAAGGUGAAGAUUCGUGUGAAUGAGCUAAAUGCAGAAAAGUCUAGAAUGGAAGAGGUUAGAAGAAGGAGACGAUGCACAGAAAAAAUUUGGGGCAAUUUUGUUGUGUUAUAUCCCUGCCGUUUGAUUAA